GACGAACGCUGGCGGCGUGCUUAACACAUGCAAGUCGAGGGCGUGCAGCAAUGCAUGACCGGCGAACGGGUGCGUAACACGUGAGCGACCUUCCGUCUUCUGGGGGAUAGCCGGCCCAACGGCCGGGUAAUACCGCAUACGCUCAUCGGGGGGCAUCCCUUGAUGAGGAAACUUCCGGGGGAGGACGAGGGGCUCGCGGCCUAU
rnacentral:rRNA from 1 species